UACUCCUUCUCCUUCGAUGAUAGAUUCAGAAGAAGGAACCAACAAAGAAUGCAUGGACCAUAAAGGAGUUGGCAGCAAAUGUUCUCCUAAUCCUUCCCCUUCAAUGAUAGAUUCAGAAGAAGAAGUCAACCAAGAAUAUUGGAACAUUGAAGAACAUGAAAGCAAAUGUCAUUGCAAGUGUCCUAAACAUAAACCUCCUACUCCUUCACCUUCAAUGAUAGAUUUAGAUGAAGAAGUCAACCAAGAAUAUAUGGACAUUGAAGAACAUAACAACAAAUGUCAUUGCAAGUGUCAUAAACAUAAACCUCCUACUCCUUCACCUUCAAUGAUAGAUUCAGAAGAAGAAGUCAACCAAGAAUAUUGGGACGUCGAAGAACAUAAAAGCAAGUGUCAUUGCAAGUGUCCUAAACAUAAACCUCCUACUCCUUCACCUUCAAUGACAGAUUCAGAAGAAGCUAAAGCUCCUACCCCCAUUGAAAAACGUAAAAGAAAAUGUCAUUGCAAAUGUCAUAAAGCCAAAGCUCCUACUCCCAUAAAUGAAUACUAUAUUUAAAAUAGAUGUAAAAAUAUAUUUCUUCAUUAAUUAAUAUCAAU
rnacentral:lncRNA from 1 species